GGCAGGUUGCGCGACGGUCUGUAAAACCGCCGGCUCAGCCUACGUAGGUUCGAACCCUACACCUGCCA
rnacentral:tRNA from 1 species